rnacentral:rRNA from 1 species
GAUGAACGCUGGCGGCGUGCCUAAUACAUGCAAGUCGAGCGAACAGAUGAGGAGCUUGCUCCUCUGACGUUAGCGGCGGACGGGUGAGUAACACGUGGAUAACCUACCUAUAAGACUGGGAUAACUUCGGGAAACCGGAGCUAAUACCGGAUAAUAUAUUGAACCGCAUGGUUCAAUAGUGAAAGACGGUUUUGCUGUCACUUAUAGAUGGAUCCGCGCCGCAUUAGCUAGUUGGUAAGGUAACGGCUUACCAAGGCAACGAUGCGUAGCCGACCUGAGAGAGUGAUCGGCCACACUGGAACUGAGACACGGUCCAGACUCCUACGGGAGGCAGCAGUAGGGAAUCUGCCGCAAUGGGCGAAAGCCUGACGGAGCAACGCCGCGUGAGUGAUGAAGGUCUUCGGAUCGUAAAACUCUGUUAUUAGGGAAGAACAAAUGUGUAAGUAACUAUGCACGUCUUGACGGUACCUAAUCAGAAAGCCACGGCUAACUACGUG